AUUGAACGCUGGCGGCAUGCCUUACACAUGCAAGUCGAACGGCAGCACGGGUGCUUGCACCUGGUGGCGAGUGGCGAACGGGUGAGUAAUACAUCGGAACGUACCUUAUCGUGGGGGAUAACGCAGCGAAAGCUGUGCUAAUACCGCAUACGCCCUGAGGGGGCAAGCGGGGGAUCGAAAGACCUCGCGCGAUUAGAGCGGCCGAUGCCUGAUUAGCUGUUUGGUGGGGUAAAAGCCCACCAAGGCGACGAUCAGUAGCUGAUCUGAGAGGACGAGCAGCCACACUGGGGCUGGAGCACGGCCCAGACUCCGACGGGAGGCAGCAGUGGGGAAUUUCGGAAAAGGGGGGCAACCCUGAUCCAGCAAUGCCGCGUGAGUGAAGAAGGCCUUCGGGUUGUAAAGCUCUUCUGUCAGGGAAGAAACACCGGCUCUAACACAGUCCGGGAAUGACGGUACCUGAAGAAUAAGCACCGGCUAACUACGUGCCAGCCGCCGCCGUAA
rnacentral:rRNA from 1 species